rnacentral:rRNA from 1 species
GCGCUAAAGGGCCGCGGUAUUCUGACCGUGCGAAGGUAGCAUAAUCAAUAGUCUCUUAAUUGGAGGCUGGAAUGAAUGGCUGCACGAGAAGGAAGCUGUCUCCUCCUUAAAAAUUGAAUUUUACCUUUAAGUGAAAAGGCUUAAAUAUAUCUGAGGGGACGAUAAGACCCUAUAAAACUUUACAAUUUAUUUCUGCUUCAUAGAAUUUUUGUUUAAAUUGAGUGAGGUGUAUUAUUGUUAGGUUGGGGCGACUAUUAUAUAAUUUUUAAUAACUGUAAGUGAAAGGAAUAGUUUUAUUUAGUUAGUUGAUCCUUUAAUAAAGAUUAAAAGAUUAAGUUACUUUAGGGAUAACAGCGUAAUUUUUUCUGAGAGUUCCUAUCGAUGAAAUUAGUUGCGACCUCGAUGUUGAAUUAAAGUAUCUUUUA